rnacentral:tRNA from 1 species
GCGGCCGUAGUCCAGUCUGGAUAGGAUGGGGGCCUCCCGAGCCCCAGACCCGGGUUCAAAUCCCGGCGGCCGCA